GAUGAACGCUGGCGGCGUGCCUAAUACAUGCAAGUCGAGCGAACAGACGAGGAGCUUGCUCCUCUGACGUUAGCGGCGGACGGGUGAGUAACACGUGGAUAACCUACCUAUAAGACUGGGAUAACUUCGGGAAACCGGAGCUAAUACCGGAUAAUAUAUUGAACCGCAUGGUUCAAUAGUGAAAGUCGGUUUUGCUGUCACUUAUAGAUGGAUCCGCGCCGCAUUAGCUAGUUGGUAAGGUAACGGCUUACCAAGGCAACGAUGCGUAGCCGACCUGAGAGGGUGAUCGGCCACACUGGAACUGAGACACCGUCCAGACUCCUACGGGAGGCAGCAGUAGGGAAUCUUCCGCAAUGGGCGAAAGCCUGACGGAGCAACGCCGCGUGAGUGAUGAAGGUCUUCGGAUCGUAAAACUCUGUUAUUAGGGAAGAACAAAUGUGUAAGUAACUAUGAACGUCUUGACGGUACCGAAUCAGAAAGCCACGGCUAACUACGUG
rnacentral:rRNA from 1 species